AUAAACCAAAGUGUUGCACAACUUAAAACUUGAUGGUGACCCGAUGGUGGAACAGAAGGUGUUACAGUUCAUCCUCUGGGGAACGUGAACGGUCGUUUUCAAGUUUCAUGAUGAUACGUCCGACAGUUGUCCAGACGUUUCACACAUGACCUCGUGGUGGCGCUGGAGGGAACGUCAGAGGAUCGCCAGCAUGGCUGUCCAUCCGGUAGUCGUGCAGUGGCCGACAGACCUGCAAUCUGUGCUGCUGGCGCGGCAGAAAGCCAGUUUGUGGUCUUAGAGAGAGGGAAAGGCUGGAACUAUUUAUUGCUGAACAUCAGUGUAUCCCUCCGCCCAGUGCUUCGGAGCUAUGGCCACCGCUGACAGCCUCCCUGCGACAACAAGACUUCAGGAAGCUACGGGUCACAUUCCCGUCUGUGUACGGAUUAAACGAACAGGACACAACGUGUUCAUUAGGGCCCGGGCGCUGAUUUACAUCUGCAGUUUCUGCGAAGACUUUAAAACAUCACCUCGGGUUCAAACUACAUUUUCUGUUUCUCUCUGGGAGUUGUGAUGCAUCAAGCGACAAAAAGGAAAUAACCUACUGGAAGAAAAGUUUACUUCUCUUUUUACAUCCCGGCCUGAAAAAACAGAGACGCAGAGGAGAGAGUGUGAUGUUAUUUAUUGGACUGUAACCAUGGAGCCGUUGCCGAGGAACGAACCAUCGCUAACAAAAGGGUGGAUUCAUCCAUUCAUCCAGCGAAGAGGAGGAGGAGGAGGAGGAGGAGGAGGAGAGGCAUCCCCAAACUCAGAGUCUCCACCAGCCGGAGAAAGGAGAUCUGAGCUGGAGGGUUUCCCAACACCGAGCGACUACGAGUUGACACAGUUGUUGUUGAUGAAACUUUACACACUCCUCCUCCUCUUCCUCCUCCUCCUCCUCCUCCUCCUCCUCCUCUUUCUCCAUUGGAGCGUUGUUCGGACAGGCAGGCAGGCAGGCAGUCACAUGAAGCCAACACCUGUCGGCAGUGUGGGGGGAUGGCAAGCACAUGCUGCUCUGCCUCACUGUUUCCAGCCCCGACAACACAUUUCCUGCGUGUCCUUUCUCUUCUCCGCGUUCACCUCAGCCCUGCUUUCUCUUCUCGCAGCACGAAAAGAUGUUU